rnacentral:lncRNA from 1 species
GAUUUUCCAGGCAAAAGUACUGGAGUGGGGUGCCAUUGCCUUCUCCAUGUCCUAGCUAUUGUAAAUAGUGUUGCAGUGAAUAUUGGGGUACAUGUGUCUUUUUCAAUUAUGGCUUCCUCAGGGUAUAUGCCCAGUAGUGGGAUUGUUAGGCCAUAUGGUAGUUUUAUUUGGUGGGAAUGUAAAUUGAUAUAGCCGUUAUGGAGCAUGGUAUAGAGAUUCCUUAAAAAACUAGAGCUGAGAUUCUUGAUGGGAGUGAGGCAGGUUGUCAGCUUUUGAGGCAAAAGAAUGGAGAGCAGCAUCUCACUUUCUCAAAAAGGAGCCCUAGACUUUUGUUGUACUACCCUCUGUGAUUAUGCAUCCAUAUGUCCCAAGGCCAAGACUUGGAUUUAAUGUUGACAUCUGGUCCCCUGACUCCUGUCUGCCCUUGAAGAAUCGUGGCUCAGAUGUGUUCCUCCACUCUUCAUACUUUGGACAACUGCCUUAAGUCAACUAGAGAGUUCUGGAAUCUGUAGCUCAGGCUGUUGCAGGGGGAAUCCUAGGCCUCACGCUUUAAGUGCAUGAAGACUGAGUUGCCCUCCUCCACACGUCUUAAGAAGGCCAUUGACUCUGCUUUUCAAAAAUGACUCACUUCAUGCUUUGGACCUGAGGAUGGACAGUGGACUUUUCAGAAGGAACAUCCAAUUCACAGAGCCAUUUGGCUUCUGGAGAGGAAUCAGCAACGUGUUUUCUCAGGGGUGGUUCAGCAGCUCUGUCCUGUCGUCAAGGAUGGAUGUCCUCACUGUGGUGUCAACGUCUCCAUCUGUGGCCAGCAGAUGGCUGCAGCAGCUGCAAGGACCACAUCCUUUCAUGGCAACUUCCAGGAGCACCUUGAGAGUGGGGGGCUCUCUACAUGGGUGUCUCCUCCCUUAUCAUGAAGGCAGUUGCAUCCUCGCCAUCUGCCAGCACGUCCUUUACAUCUCAUCAGCCAGGACUGGGUCGAGCGGCCAUCUCCAGCCAGAAGAGCAGUUAGGAAAAUUGGUAACUGGUGCUUCCUGCCACCAGAAUGGAAGCAGACAUACCAAGGGAAAUAGAUCUGUCAAUGGCUGGCACAUGGUCAGCCAAGAGCCAUUUUUAAUUCGAGGUCUUUUGAGCUUCUGUAUAAAUUUUAAGAUUAUUUAUUCUAAUUCUGUGGAAAAUGUCAUGGGUAUUUUGAUAGGGAUCGCAUUAAAUUUGCAGAUUGUUUUGGGUAGUAUGGCUGUGUUAACAAUAGUAAUCCUUCAAAUACAAGAGCAUGAGUUAUCUUUCCAUUUCUUUAAAUCAUAUUAA